CGGAGUAGCGCAGUUGGUAGAGCAACUGAAUCGUAAUCAGUAGGUCGCGGGUUCAAAUCCUGUUUCCGGC
rnacentral:tRNA from 1 species